UACGUAGGUGGCAAGCGUUGUCCGGAUUUACUGGGCGUAAAGAGCGCGCAGGCGGUCGAAUAAGUCGAAUGUGAAAGCCCCCGGCUCAACUGGGGAGGGUCAUUCGAUACUGUUCGACUUGAAGGCAGGAGAGGGAAGCAGAAUUCCCGGUGUAGUGGUGAAAUGCGUAGAUAUUAGGAAGAACACCGGUGGCGAAGGCGGCCCACUGGAUCGGUACUGACGCUGAGGUGCGAAAGCGUGGGGAGCAAACAGG
rnacentral:rRNA from 1 species